UCGGGAAUAUUGCGCAAUGGAGGAAACUCUGACGCAGUGACGCCGCGUAUAGGAAGAAGGUUUUCGGAUUGUAAACUAUUGUCGUUAGGGAAGAAAAAAGACAGUACCUAAGGAGGAAGCUCCGGCUAACUACGUGCCAGCAGCCGCGGUAAUACGUAGGGAGCGAGCGUUAUCCGGAUUUAUUGGGUGUAAAGGGUGCGUAGACGGGUAAGCAAGUUAGUUGUGAAAUCCCUCGGCUUAACUGAGGAACUGCAACUAAAACUGCAUAUCUUGAGUACAGGAGAGGUAAGUGGAAUUCCUAGU
rnacentral:rRNA from 1 species